UCGUAAUUGUGGAAGGCCACAGCAAAGAAAAAGAAAGGCCUUUCUCUCCUAAUAAUCUCUUUCCGUCGUUUCAUUUCAUAAUGAGUAAAGUGGGGUUCAAAGGACUGAAAUCUUGCAAAGGCUUCAACCAACUUGGGGCUUUCAACCCUGGCUGCAUGUUGGAAUCAGCUGGGGCACUUUUCAAAAAUGCAGAUGCUCCAGUCCCCCCACUAGAGAUUUGAAUUUAAAUGAACAUGAUUAUAUUUAAUACACAACUUCGGUAUACCAGAAAGUAAAGCACCACUGUAAAAUAAUAACAAUAAACAUGGUAUUUCAUUUGCAAGGCAUGAGAAAUGGUUAACAUCUUUAGUCAUAAACAAGCUCUUAGAAACCAGUAACAGAGACACUAUAAUGCAAAGAAACUGGAAAAAAGUAAAAUAAUACAAAUGACGAUUAAGCGUUAAGCAUAUUGAUGAUUGUGCUGAGCAGUGACGAAGAAUAAUUUCUCUGCAAUAUGACACGGAACGGAAUAAAGACACUGACACCUAU